GAUGAACGCUAGCGGCAGGCCUAAUACAUGCAAGUCGAGGGGUAACAUGAGAGCUUGCUCUUGAUGACGACCGGCGCACGGGUGCGUAACGCGUAUGCAACCUACCCACAACUGGAGCAUAGCCCGGAGAAAUCCGGAUUAAUACCCCAUAAUGCAGGGGUACCACAUCAAAUUAUAAUUAAAGAUCAGUCGGUUGAAGAUAGGCAUGCGUGACAUUAGUUUGUUGGUGAGGUAACGGCUCACCAAGACUACGAUGUCUAGGGGGUCUGAGAGGAUGAUCCCCCACACUGGCACUGAGAUACGGGCCAGACUCCUACGGGAGGCAGCAGUAGGGAAUAUUGGUCAAUGGAGGCAACUCUGAACCAGCCACGCCGCGUGAAGGAAGACUGCCCUCAGGGUUGUAAACUUCUUUUAUAAGGGAAGAAACUCCGCUACGUGUAGCGGACUGACGGUACCAUACGAAUAAGGAUCGGCUAACUCCGUGCCAGCAGCCGCGGUAAUACGGAGGAUCCAAGCGUUAUCCGGAUUUAUUGGGUUUAAAGGGUGCGCAGGCGGACUAAUAAGUCAGUGGUGAAAUCUCUCGGCUCAACCGAGAAACUGCCAUUGAAACUGCUAGUCUUGAGUACAGUUGUAGUGGGCGGAAUAUAGCAUGUAGCGGUGAAAUGCUUAGAUAUGCUAUAGAACACCGAUCGCGAAGGCAGCUCACUAAGCUGUAACUGACGCUCAGGCACGAAAGCGUGGGGAGCAAACAGGAUUAGAUACCCUGGUAGUCCACGCCGUAAACGAUGAUUACUCGAUGUUGGCAAUACACCGUCAGCGUCCAAGCGAAAGCGUUAAGUAAUCCACCUGGGGAGUACGCUCGCAAGAGUGAAACUCAAAGGAAUAGACGGUGGCCCGCACAAGCGGAGGAGCAUGUGGUUUAAUUCGAUGAUACGCGAGGAACCUUACCUGGGCUCAAACGUAGAGUGACCAUCUGCGAAAGCAGAUUUUCCUUCGGGACAGUCUACGGGUGCUGCAUGGUUGUCGUCAGCUCGUGCCGUGAGGUGUCGGGUUAAGUCCCAUAACGAGCGCAACCCCUAUCUUUAGUUGCCAAUGUUAUGGUGGGGACUCUAGCAAGACUGCCGGCGUAAGCCGCGAGGAAGGUGGGGAUGACGUCAAAUCAUCAUGGCCUUUAUGCCCAGGGCGACACACGUGCUACAAUGGCCAGUACAGAGGGUAGCCAACCCGCGAGGGGGAGCCAAUCCCAGAAAGCUGGUCCCAGUUCGGAUUGGAGUCUGCAACCCGACUCCAUGAAGGUGGAAUCGCUAGUAAUCGCGCAUCAGCCAUGGCGCGGUGAAUACGUUCCCGGACCUUGUACACACCGCCCGUCAAGCCAUGGAAGCUGGGGGUGCCUGAAGAUGGUGACUUUACUGGGAGCUAUCUAAGGUAAAACUAGUAACUGGGGCUAA
rnacentral:rRNA from 1 species